UACGUAGGGUGCAAGCGUUGUCCGGAAUUAUUGGGCGUAAAGAGCUCGUAGGUGGUCUGUUACGUCUGCUGUGAAAACCUAGGGCUUAACCCUGGGCCUGCAGUGGAUACGGGCAGACUAGAGGUAGGUAGGGGAGAAUGGAAUUCCCGGUGUAGCGGUGAAAUGCGCAGAUAUCGGGAGGAACACCGGUGGCGAAGGCGGUUCUCUGGGCCUUACCUGACACUGAGGAGCGAAAGCGUGGGGAGCGAACAGG
rnacentral:rRNA from 1 species